UACGUAGGUGGCAAGCGUUGUCCGGAAUUAUUGGGCGUAAAGCGAGCGCAGGCGGUCUUUUAAGUCUGAUGUGAAAGCCCACGGCUCAACCGUGGAGGGUCAUUGGAAACUGGAAGACUUGAAUGCAGAAGAGGAAAGUGGAAUUCCAUGUGUAGCGGUGAAACGCGUAGAUAUAUGGAGGAACACCAGUGGCGAAGGCGACUUUCUGGUCUGACACUGACACUGAGGCGCGAAAGCGUGGGGAGCGAACAGG
rnacentral:misc_RNA from 1 species